rnacentral:rRNA from 1 species
AGCAGCCGCGGUAAUUCCAGCUCCAAUAGCGUAUAUUAAAGUUGUUGCAGUUAAAAAGCUCGUAGUUGAAUUUCGGGACCAAUUUGAUGGUCGUGCCUCGGUACGUACUGGUAUUAUUGGUUUCUCCCUUCUGAAGAACCAUGAUGCCAUUAAUUUGGUGUCGUGGGGGAAUCAGGACUGUUACUUUGAAAAAAUUAGAGUGUUUAAAGCAGGCAUACGCUUGAAUACAUUAGCAUGGAAUAAUGAAAUAGGACGUUUGAUUCUAUUUUGUUGGUUUCUUAGGAUCGACGUAAUGAUUAAUAGGGAUAGUUGGGGGCGAUUAGUAUUCAAUUGUCAGAGGUGAAAUUCUUGGAUUUAUUGAAGACUAACUACUGCGAAAGCAUUUGCCAAGGAUGUUUUCAUUAAUCAAGAACGAAAGUUAGGGGGAUCGAAGACGAUCAGAUACCGUCGUAGUCUUAACCAUAAACUAUGCCGACUAGGGAUCGGAUGAUGUUAAUUUUUUAAUUGACUCAUUCGGCGC